GUCCACGCUGUAAACGAUGAGCACUAGGUGUGGGGGGGUUCAGUCCCCUCCGUGCCGCAGCUAACGCAUUAAGUGCUCCGCCUGGGGAGUACGGCCGCAAGGUUGAAACUCAAAGGAAUUGACGGGGGCCCGCACAAGCGGUGGAGCAUGUGGUUCAAUUCGAUGCAGAGCGAAGAACCUUACCUGGGCUUGACAUGCAGGAAGUAGAAACCGGAAACGGCGACGACCUGUUAAGUCAGGAACCUGCACAGGUGGUGCAUGGCUGUCGU
rnacentral:rRNA from 1 species